rnacentral:tRNA from 1 species
GUGACCGUAGCUCAAUUGGAAAGAGCGCCUGGCUGUGGCCCAGGAGGUUGUGGGUUCAAGUCCCACCGGUCACC